rnacentral:lncRNA from 1 species
GACUUGAAUCAAACUUAAUAAUUAUCCAUGAUACAUUGCCAUGUGCAAUUUUGUUUUUUAAAGUUAGCAAAAAGGUCCAUAUCUCUUUUUGUUGGAUGUUAGUCUAGAGAGUUAAGACUCAAAAUCAAGAAUUAUGAAGAGAAAUUAAAGGAAAAAAACUGUUGUUGAAAUUAAAAGGAGCUAAAACGAAUAUAAAAGAGUAAAAAUGACUAAGACGAAAAAUAAAGUGAUAGAAAAAAAAACCUUUUAACUUUUUCAUUUUUGCAAAACAAUUCCUCAACUUUUAAGUUGGCUGAUAAUUACUUUGAAUUUACAU